CCUGAAAUUGCAUCAGAUAAUUACUUCUGAUAAUUAGAACAUUUUGACAUCAAAAUCAGCAUAAACUCACGUUUUACUAUCUGCUCUUCCUCCCACCAUAUGUUGAUAUUUUAUACAUUUUAUUAUUUCUUUAAAUAUUAUUUGCUUACAUGAUUUUGAAGCUUAAUCAAAUGAACAUACCACAAUUUAUUAAACAAAAUUUCUAUUGUUGGACAUUCAGAUUGGGUUCAACUUUUUCUUUUUAUAGUAACAUUCAGCAGAACACCAUUGAACAUAAAUCUUUGAAUGCAUGUUGAUUAUUUCCUUAGGAUAAACCCCUAAAUCUAAGAUUACGGCGACCAGAGUUACUUCAAUUUUAACUGGUGAAAUAAUUUAAAAAUUGUUAUUUUCUUCUUCUUCUUUCUUCUUUCCUUUUUUUUUUUUUUCUUUUUUGAGAUGGGAUUUUGCCCAGGUGCUAUCUUCGCUCACUGCAACCUCUGCCUCCUGGGCUCAAGGGAUUCUCUCGCUUCAGUCCCUCAAGUAGCUGGGACUGCAGGCAUGUGCCACCAUGCCCCAGCUAAUUUUUGCAUUUUAUGUAGAGACGGGGUUUCACUAUAUUGGUCAGGCUGGUCUCCAACUCCUGAGCUCAAGUGAUCUGCCCAUCUUGGCCUCCCAAAGUGCUGGGAUUAUAGGCAUGAACCACCAUGCCUGGCCCCCAAAAUUGUUAUUUUCAAGUCUAAAAUUUCUUUCAGCUUCUACAUGACAGAUAAUUCUCCUGACAAAAUAGUCUUCCUUUUUAAAAAAUGUGAAAGAUAGUUUUGACUUGUCCAAUAAAUGAAGCUUUAUCAGUGGUUGUGUGUAUGUGAUUUUGUGAAUUUUUUUUGUUUUUUUGAGACAGAGUUUCACUCUUGUUGGCCAGGCUGGAGUGCAAUGGUUCACUGCAACCUCUGCCUCCCAGGUUCAAGCGAUUCUCCUGCCUCAGCCUCCGAGUAGCUGGGAUUACAGGCAUGCACCAGCAUGCCCAGCUAAUUUUGUGUUUUUAGUAGAGACGGGGUUUCACCAUGUUGGUCAGGCUGGUGUCGAACUCCUGACCUCAAGUGAUACACCUGCCUCAGCCUCCUAAAGUGCUGGGAUUACAGGUGUGAGCCACUGCACCAAGCUGAUUUUGUGAAUAUUGCAAAUGUAUUUGUGGAACAAAAUGGCUUGGAGUCCCUCUUAAAUGAAUGCCCUGUUGUUCUCAUCAUAGCAAUCCACCUACUGCUGUAGGCUUGAUGUUAUCACUCCUGCCAUUCGGGCAGGUGUCUGGAGGGUGGAAGUAGGGACAAAGACCUUAGAAAAGUGGUAGGGUGAUGAGAGAUAGAUUGGGAAUUAAUAGCAAAUCAGGAAAGAAGCAAUUAAGUAAAUGACGAGAAUUGAGGCUGGUUAGAGUAGGUCUGAGAAGCAGAGUAGAUACUUUUCUCAUUUUAAUGAAUGCUAAUCAGCUGGCCUAGUGAAAACCUCCUCCUGAUAUGCCAAACACAAUGGCUUAUGCAAACAUUUGAUAAAGCAUUCUCAGGUGUGUUAGUCAUUAAGCCAUGACCUUGGGAACAGAUUGCAUGGCUAUAUUCCUCAGUCAUUUACAGUACACACACAGGUCCAUAAAUGCAGCUGUGUGAAUAUAAUUAAUUACUAACAAUUCUUAUUUUAGAAGUGGUAGUAUCUUGAGAGUAAUCCAUAGGUAGUGGACAAGAAAUAAUUAAAAGCUGUUCUGCAUUGAGC
rnacentral:lncRNA from 1 species